rnacentral:rRNA from 1 species
AUACGGAGGGUGCAAGCGUUAUCCGGAUUUAUUGGGUUUAAAGGGUGCGCAGGCGGACCUGUCAGUCAGUGGUGAAAUCCCGGGGCUCAACCGCGGAACUGCCAUUGAUACUACAGGUCUUGAAUACGGUUGAAGUAGGCGGAAUGUAGCAUGUAGCGGUGAAAUGCAUAGAUAUGCUACAGAACACCGAUCGCGAAGGCAGCUUACUAAGCCGAUAUUGACGCUCAGGCACGAAAGCGUGGGGAGCGAACAGGAUUAGAAACCCCAGUAGUAC